UGGGGAAUCUUGCGCAAUGGGGGAAACCCUGACGCAGCGAUACCUCGUGAGUGAAGAAGUCUUUAGGGAUGUAAAACUCUGUCGAGAAGGAAGAUAAUGACGGUACUUCUAGAGGAAGCCCCGGCUAACUACGUGCCAGCAGCCGCGGUAAUACGUAGGGGGCGAGCGUUAUCCGGAUUUACUGGGCAUAAAGCGCAUGCAGGCGGUGAUCUAAGUCAGAUGUUAAAACCCACAGCUCAACUGUUGGUCGCAUUUGAAACUGGAUCACUCGAGAUCAGGAGAGGAAAGUGGAACUCAUGGUGUAGCGGUGAAAUGCGUAGAUAUCAUGAGGAACACCAGUGGCGAAGGCGGCUUUCUGGACUGAUUCUGACGCUGAGAUGCGAAAGCAUGGGGAGCAAACAGG
rnacentral:rRNA from 1 species